AGGUAGUUAAUAAUGUCCUAGAAAAGAUAAACUCACUUUCAUUUGCUGCUGCAAGAAAUAAAGGAAGGAGAAGAGAAAGAUAAACAAAAGAAUAGCGGAAAAACCCCUUCUGAAAAGACAAAAUCACUAGAAACACACCAAGAGACAACGUCUCUGUUCAACAGCUUCACCUGAGAGCAACCUACAGAAAUCAACUGCUCUGUUCUCCAGAAUGAUCCACUAUCUCAACAGCUUUUUGGUCAUUAGAUGCUUAUCCAGGAAGCCACCCUCCUCAUCAGUAUGAAAGUUGCUUUCCUUCAGUGGAGUUCUUUGGAAGAACCACCACAUGAUUCUUAAAUAACUAGUUGCAUCGGUGGAAACUAAAUCUCUUCUUCCUCCAUUGGUGACUAGUUGGCAUUACUUAAUGAGGAAUGUAUGCUUGGAGUGAAUGUUGUACAUACUCUAUGGACUACAAUUUGCACAAACAUGAGACCUUUUUUGCACAUGAGAACUUUGUAAGUACAGUAACUAGAUCAUAAAUA